rnacentral:lncRNA from 1 species
AUAGAUAUUAAUUCAUUUUUGAAAGAUAUUAAUAAAAUAUAUUAAUAAUCCAUAUUAUAAGAAAUUUAGGAGGACGGAUGAGUGAUUUAAUUAUUAAAAGUAAUUAAUUACAGAAUUACGGUUAGAAUUUGGAAAAUCAAGAGAAAGUAUAUAGGAGUUGUAGAAGAUAAUUAAGGUGCCAAAUUGUGAUAGUCAUGAGCAGAGGGCCAUCACUAUGAUAGUUGUGAGCUGGGGUAAGCUUGGUGCUACCUCUUUUCUUUUGUUUGUUAUUUUCUUUGAAUAUGAGAAUUGAGAGUUUUUGAAUAUUGUAAAGUGAAUUAUGGAAUGGAAAUGUGAUUGGUAUUAUUUGAGAAGAAGAAAGAUUGAAUGCUGAAAUUUGAUUGUAGUUCAGCAAAGAGAAUGAGUUUGUGUUUGUAUGAAAUACCGUAAUGUGAAUGGCAGUUCUGUGUGAAGAAAUCCAGUGAUUGGAAUGAGGAUAAUUGUGUGCUAAAAGCUGUACAGGCGGAGUAUUACAGUUGGAGAUUAUGAAGGU